CCACAACUGAUUUCCAUCACAAUCAUCACCUUCACAUCUCCAUCUUCUUCCACUAAAAGCUCUCUUGCAAGUUGUGAAGAUCCUCCAUAGAAGUGUGAAGUUGAAGUGCUCCCAAGAAGCCUUGUUCAAACUUUUCUCACCAUCAUUCUUUAUCAUCUCAUCCUAAGAUUACAACCCUAGCCUUGUGCUAGUAGUAGUCGUGUUUGCUGAGGAGAUUUGGGGUACGAGUACCGAAGACGCAAUACUGUGAGUUCAUGUCCCCCUUUUCUCUUAACUAUUUUCAGUUUUACACCUCGGGGGUGAAAUACAUGUUACAGACAUUUACAGACAUUUACAGACAUUUAUUUACAUGGUAUGGUUAGCUUAAGGAGGGUUUUUAUUACGCGAACAUGGGAGUGGUGGGCAUGACACUUAAGGCCAUUAAUCCUCGUUGUAGGACCGAGGGACAUUAGUGAUAGAUCUAUUUGGGUGUAGCGAGCCCCACUCCUGAGUCCGCUGAGUGGACCAUGAUGAUAGAUCUAUUUGGGUGUAGCGAGCCCCACUCCUGAGUCCGCUGAGUGGACCAUGAGUUGACUAAGUGCCUGACGCACAAAUCCGCUAGGGUUGAGUCUUC
rnacentral:lncRNA from 1 species